UACGGAGGGGGCUAGCGUUAUUCGGAAUUACUGGGCGUAAAGCGCACGUAGGCGGCUUUGUAAGUUAGAGGUGAAAGCCCGGAGCUCAACUCCGGAAUUGCCCUUAAGACUGCAUCGCUAGAACGUCGGAGAGGUGAGUGGAAUUCCGAGUGUAGAGGUGAAAUUCGUAGAUAUUCGGAAGAACACCAGUGGCGAAGGCGGCUAACUGGACCAUUCUUGACGCUGAGGGACGAAAGCGUGGGGAGCAAACAGG
rnacentral:rRNA from 1 species